GGGAGCCUGAGAAACGGCUACCACAUCCAAGGAUGGCAGCAGGCGCGCAAAUUACCCAAUCCCGACACGGGGAGGUAGUGACAAUAAAUAACAAUACGGGGUUCUUUCGGAUCUCGUAAUUGGAAUGAGUACAAUUUAAAUCUCUUAACGAGGAACAAUUGGAGGGCAAGUCUGGUGCCAGCAGCCGCGGUAAUUCCAGCUCCAAUAGUGUAUAUUAAAGUUGUUGCAGUUAAAAAGCUCGUAGUUGAAUUUCGGGGUUAGUAGGUUGGUCAUGCCUCUGGUAUGUACUGAUCUCACUGAUUCCUCCUUCCUUAUGAACCGUAAUGCCAUUAAUUUGGUGUUGCGGGGAAUUUGGACUGUUACUUUGAAAAAAUUAGAGUGUUUAAAGCAAGCUAACGCUUGAAUACAUUAGCAUGGAAUAAUGAAAUAGGACGUUCGAUCUUAUUUUGUUGGUUUCUAGGAUUGACGUAAUGAUUAAUAGGGAUAGUUGGGGGCAUUAGUAUUCAAUUGUCAGGGGUGAAAUUCUUGGAUUUAUUGAAGACUAACUACUGCGAAAGCAUUUGCCAAGGAUGUUUUCAUUAAUCAAGAACGAAAGUUAGGGGAUCGAAGACGAUCAGAUACCGUCGUAGUCUUAACCAUAAACUACGCCGACUAGGGAUCGGAUGAUGUUAAUUUUUUAAUGACUCAUUCGGCGCCUUACGGGAA
rnacentral:rRNA from 1 species